rnacentral:rRNA from 1 species
UACAGAGGGUGCGAGCGUUAAUCGGAAUUACUGGGCGUAAAGCGCGCGUAGGCGGCUUUGCAAGUCGAGUGUGAAAUCCCCAGGCUCAACCUGGGAACUGCAUUCGAGACUGCAUAGCUAGAGUAUGGGAGAGGGAAGUGGAAUUCAGGUGUAGCGGUGAAAUGCGUAGAUAUCUGAAGGAACAUCAGUGGCAGAAAGCGGACUUCCUGGACCAAUACUGACGCUCAUGUGCGAAAGCGUGGGGAGCAAACAGG